CCUACGGGUGGCAGCAGUGAGGACUAUUGGUCAAUGGGCGGGAGCCUGAACCAGCCAAGUCGCGUGAGGGAAGACGGUCCUAUGGAUUGUAAACCUCUUUAGGCGGGGAGCAAUGCCGGGCACGCGUGCCCGGAGGGAGAGUACCCGCAGAAUAAGCAUCGGCUAACUCCGUGCCAGCAGCCGCGGUAAUACGGAGGAUGCGAGCGUUAUCCGGAUUUAAUGGGUUUAAAGGGAGCGUAGACGGCAGUGCAAGUCUGGAGUGAAAGGCGGGGGCUCAACCCCCGGACUGCUCUGGAAACUGUACGGCUGGAAUGCGGAUGCCGUGGGAGGAAUGUGUGGUGUAGCGGUGACAUGCAUAGAUAUCACACAGAACACCGAUUGCGAAGGCAUCUCACGAAUCCGCGAUUGACGCUGAUGCACGAAAGCGUGGGUAUCAAACAGGAUUAGAUACCCCAGUAGUC
rnacentral:rRNA from 1 species